CUACAUCUACGAACUUUUUUCGUCUCACCGCCGCCACCAGCAGGGUCGCCGGACUGUCGCCGGCCAAUUGUCCAACUUCGAUGCCAGAAAUCCACACGCGUGAGGCUCACACGCCCUUCCUUCCCAGCGCGUGAGGUUCAAUCCAAAGCUGCUAUGCUGCCCAUACAACCCUGGCACCGUUCCGGCCAUCCCAUGCCGCUACCCGGUUUCUUGGUAAUUUGGUUGGACUCUCUUGUGUAUACAAUCUUGAGUACCUAACUCUGAUAAACCUUCCUUGCAAAUUUAUCAGAAACUGUGGAGGAGCUAUUUAAGGAGACAACAGCUGCUGAGCUCCUUCCCCCUAAUGAAAUUUAGAGACCCAAGUGCUUCAUGUCUCAUAUUGACACCUCUUCCUCCUCUGGUGUCACAUCUAAUUUUGUGAAGUCAGGUAAUGCUUUCUCUCUUGAUACUAUUUUAUGGAUUAUUGAUUAUAGUGCGAAUAGACACAUGACAGACUCUUCUAAAGAUUUUCUCAAUUAUUUUCCUUCUCUAACGAAAAAUAGUGUCAGAAUUGCUAAUGACUCUUUUACUCCCAUAUUCGGAACCGUUCUGUUAUUUGUGCACCCUGUUAAAUUUGGGCCAGGUCUAACUCACACCAAAAGCUAGCUCAAGGGGUAGGAGUGCCUAUAGCCCAUAGAAGGGGCACAUUACCCCUUUUCACAAGCGAUGUGGGAUUCAACACACCCCCUCACGCUCAGAAUUUUAUUGGUGUGUGACAUAUUUAUAGGAGGCCCAACAUCAGAUGGGGAGGCUCUAAUACCAUGUUAAAUUUGGGUUAGGCCUAACUCACCCCAAAAGCUAGCACAAGGGGGAGGAGUGCCUAUAGCCCAUAUAAGGGGCACAUUACCCAUUUCCACAACCGAUGUGGGAUUCAACACACUCAAUAUUAAAUUGUCAUCUGUCCUCCAUACUCCCCAUUCUCCCAUCAACCUUUUAUAUGUCAAUGCCAUCACCAAUGCUCUUAACUGUAAAAUUGAAAUUUUUUUUUUCUAAUUAUUGUGUUAUUCAGAAUCUUUUCACAAGGAAGAGGAUUGGUAAUGGUAGACUACAUGAUAGCUUAACCAUGUUGGAAGGUGAUGUAAGUUCUCCAAUAUCUCAAGCCUGUUUUGGAGAAAAUAAAGAUGCCAAUUAGAAAAUAAUACAGUGACGCAGACGGUUAGGGCAUACAUCGUUCUUUAGAAAAACUUUAUCCUAAUUUGUUUGCUAGAACUCAGUUUGAUUCUUUAUUUUGUGAUGUUUGCGAGUAUACUAAGCACGCUAGAAUCUCCUAUCCUUUGAGUUAUAAAAAGCCAACUUCCUUUUGUGACUAUUCAUUAUGAUGUUUGGGGGCCUACUCAAACUGUCUCUUUAUAUAGUAAUUAAUGGUUUAUCACUUUUAUUAAUUGUUGCACUCGAAUGACUUGUGUAUAUUUGAUUAAAACUAGAAGUGAUGUCUUUUAUUUUUUUCAAACCUUUCACAAAAUAAUUUGUACUCAAUUUGAUACUAAGGUGAAAAUUUUGAGAAUUGACAAUGGAAGAGAAUAUAUGAAUAUUACAUUUUCUGCUUAUUUGGAGUCCAAUUGAUAGUACACCAAAUAAGUUGUCCUUAUACUAGUGCACAAAAUAGAGUUGCUGAAAGCAAAAACAAGCAUCUAUUGAAGAUAGUUCGAUCUCUUAUGUUCACCAUGAACCUAUCCAAAGCAUAUUGAUAGAUGCAGUCCUUGUAUCUUCUUAUCUUAUCAAUCGUAUGCCCCUUAAAGCCCUAGACUUUGUUAGUCCUUUGGAGGUUCUACAAGGACGGAAUUCAUACAUUGUUUCACCAAAAGUAUUUGCGUAUGUUUGCCUUGUGCAUACUAAAACAGUAGGAAAGUUGGACCCCAAGCCCUUAAAUGUGUGUUUGUUGAGUAUUUUCCGACACUUAAAGGAUACACAUAUUAUCAUCCUCCAUCUAGGAAAUACUUUGUCAGUAUGGAUGUUGAAACUGAACUCCACUUUAGUAACACCGACUCACCUCUUCAAGAGGAGAAUAAUGAGAAAGAAGCGAUGAUCUCGAAUUUUGUGAUUCUGAAUGAUAUGGUUCAAAGGCAAAGUUCUAGCAGACAGAGGGAGACGUCUGAUUCUGAAUGAUAUGGUUUAGAGGCAAAGUUCUAGCAGACAGGGGGAGACAUCUAAUCAGAGGAGAGAAUAGGACAUUUGGACAAGCCAAAUUUGAGGAGGUAUUCGAAGAGAGAGAAGACAGAAGAAGCAAUGAUGCCAGCCUAUUUGGAGUCAAGAAUUUUCUUUUGGCGAGUUACCCUCAAAUCUUGAAUGCUCCAAUAAUUUAGAUAAACCUAUUGUACAAAUAAAAGGUGUCAGCUCUUGUACCAAAUACCCUAUUUCUAACUUUAUUUCUUAUGAAUCUUUGUCUCUCUACUAUAGAGUCUUUGCCUUGUCUAUUUCCUCUGUGUCUAUUCCACGGAAAUGGAAGGAAGCUCUCGCAGAUCUUAAAUGGAAGGGAGCAAUUAUUAAAGUGAUGAAAGCACUAGCAAAAAAUGAGACAUGAGAGCUUGUCUUUCUCCCACCUGGGAAGAGACUUAUUGGCUGUAAGUAGGUACUCACAGUGAAACACAAAGUUGAUGGUACAAUUCAACAGUAUAAAGCCAGAUUGGUUGCUAAAGACUUCACCCAAAUCUAUGGAGUGGAUCAUCAAGAGACAUUUGUCCCAGUUGCAAAAAUAAACUCAAUCAAUCAGAGUGUUGUUAUCUUGUGCAACCAAUUUGGACUGAGACUUACAUCAAACGAAUAAUACAUUCCUCCAUGGAGAUUUAGAGGAAGAGGUGUUCAUUGAGAUUCCUCUUGGGUUUGCUGAUGAGAAGACACAAAGAAAGUUGUGCAAAUUAAAAAAGGCUUUGUAUGGGCUAAAACAAUAUCCCAGAGCUUAGUUUGAUAAGUUUAACAGAGCCAUGAUAUCCUUUGAUUACCAACAGAGCAAUGCUAAUCAUACUCUGUUUAUUAAACAUCACAAGGGUAAUAUCACACUUCUUAUUGUGUAUAUUGAUGAUAUAGUGGUGACAGGUGAUGACAAAAAGAAAAUGGCUUAGCUAAAAAGGUUGUUGGCUCAAGAAUUUGAAAUCAAAGAUCUAGAAAAGUUUCAAUAUUUCCUAGGUAUUGAGGUGGCCAGAUUAGAAAAAGGGAUCUUUAUCUCCCAAAGAAAGUACAUUUUGAAUCUUUUGAAAAAAACUGAUAUAUUGGGGUGUAAACCAACAGAAUCUCCCAUUGAAAGUAAUCACAAGAUGCAAGCAAGAGCUAGUGAGUCUGUGGAUAUUGGAAGCCGGAAAAUGUUCCCAAAAUGGCAUUUCGGAUCCACUUUAGACACUAUGAAUUCCCUGUGAUGCCUUUUGGUCUCACCAACGCCCUAAAAAUGUUCCAAGCAACCAUGAAUGACAUAUUUUGGCCUUCACUCCACCGUUUUGUGUUAGUCUUCUUUGACCACAUACACGUUUAUAGUCGCUUAUAGGAUGAUCACGUGUCCUAUAUGGAUCAAGUUCUUCGACUGUUAUCAUCUAAUCACUUGGUAGCCAACAUGAAGAAAUGCUCAUUUAGAAAGAGGUCUCUCUCUUUCUUAGGACUUUUAAUAUAUGUCGGAGGUGUGUCAAUGGAUCUGGAUAAAAUUGAGCAGUGCUACAGUGACCUGUUCCUAACUUAGGAAAAGAUGCAAGGGGUUUGUUAGGGCCCAUAGGAAAUUAUCGCCAAUUCAUUCAACAUUAUGGUGAAAUUGCACAGCCCCUAACUCAUCUAACAAAUAAGGUAUCCACAAUAUUUUGUUUAGGAUUCUGCUGCGCAAGAAGCAUUUGAAAAGUUGAAGGCUACAAUUGACCAACUCUAGUAUUAUUGAUGCCUGAUUUUCACCAAUCAUUCUAUUGACCAAUAUAGAAUGUUCCUAGUUAGGAGGAUUCAGAUAUUUGAAAUCCUAAUUAGGCUUAAUUAUAGGCUAGAUUAUAGAGAUUUUAUUCUUAUUGUAAAUAUUCUUAAUUUAGAUUGAUUCUUUGUGUAUAAAUACUCAAACCUUGUAAAGAUCAAUUCAAUUGGAAUAGAAUUAAAAAUUCCUCCUAAAAUUCUUCAUGGUAUCAAAGUAUUGCCACUUUAAUUGGCAUAGGUUUCAAAUAUGUCACAAAAAGUUAAGGUUAACUAAUAGGUCAAGCUUCUAGGUGACUAUAUCAAGGGAGUUGUUCGACACCCCCUGUACCGGAAGAAAGCCCAUCAAAUUUGCAGCCGAUACCCCGCGAUGUGACCCUGCUCUGAGCACAUGCGUGUCCUCACACGAUGCCACAGCAUUUCGCGUCUCCUUCCAUGCGCCGGCGUGUGAGCCUUUCUCCGGCGUUCUUUUCUUUCAGCGCUCCUUUCCGGCCCUCUUUCAAGAAUGUCGUGUCUCCGACCGGCCAUUUUCCAUGACUGGAUUCUCCUUUGGAUUUUUCAAGGUGUGUUAACGGUAACUUGAUCAUUACUGCCUCUUUGUGUUACUGGCCCCUUUUACCUUUAAAAUGUCAUAUAAGAAAGGCACUAAUGGAGGUGAAGUAUGUUUUUUGAUACUCCUCCAUAAAUUAUUAAUUCUGGUACAAAUAGACGCAUGACAGGUUCCUCUAAAAGCUUCCUUAAUUACCUUCUGUAUCUACAAAAGGACACAGUUAGAAUAGCCUAUGGUUCUUUUAUUCCUAUCUUCGAAAUCGGAUCAAUUGUUUGUACUUCUAAUAUUAAGCUAUCAUCUAUUCUCCAUGUUCAUCAUUUUCCUGUUAAUCUUUUAUCUGUUAGUACUCUUACCAAAACUCUUAACUGUAGAAUUGAAUUUUUUUCCCUACUAUUGUGUUAUUCAAGACCUUCAAACUAAGAAGAGGAUUAGCUAUGGUAGACUACAGGAUGACAUAUAUGUUGGAAGGAAAUCUGAGUUUGAAAUCACCUCGGGCACUUUUUGAAAGAAAUCAAGUUGUCAACCAGGAAAUCAUAUAGUGGCAUCGACGGUUAGGACAUCCAUCCUUUUUUAUUUUAGAGAAACUUUAUCCUGAUUUAUUUUUCAAGGCUCCAUGUGGUUCUUUAGUUUAGUUUGUGAUACUUGUGAGUAUGCUAAGCAUACAAUAAUCUCGUAUUCCUACAACAACAAUAGAAAUAUGAUCCCUUUUGUGAUCAUCUAUUAUGAUGUUUGGAGACUUACUCAAACGAUCUCAUUAUCUGGUAAUUGUUGAUUUAUUACUUUUAUUGAUUACUGCUCUUGCAUGACUUGGGUUUAUUUGAUAAAGGCAAAAAGAGAUAUGGUUUCUUGCUUUCAAUUUUUUCACAAGAUGAUUUGUACUCAAUUUGAUGCUAAGAUAAAAGUUAUGAGGACUGAUAAUAGUACAGAGUACAUAGAUGGCCAUUUUUCAACUUAUCUGGAGUCUAAUGGGAUGUUGCAUCAAACUAGUAGUCCUUACUCUAGUUAAUAGAAUAAGAAUGGCUCAUCAUGAACCUUCCAAAAACCUAUUAGGAGAUUUGGUCUUAGCCGCAAUUUAUCUCAUUAAUAGAAUGGCUCUCAAAGCUCGUCUUUAAGAGCCUUAGGUGCUAUAAGGGAAAAAUGCUUGUAUUGUUCCACCAAAGAUAUUUGGAUGCACAUAUUUUGUUCAUACUAAGACAAGUAGGAAGCUCAAUUCGAGAGUUCUUAAAUGUGUGUUUGUUGGGUACUCUCCCACACAUCAAGUUACAAGUGUUAUCACCCUCCAUCUAGAAAAUAUUUUGUCACUAUGGAUGUUACAUAUAGAGAGUCUGAACCUUACUUUAGUACUACCCCAUCACCUUAGGGAAAGAACAAUGAGAGAGAAGAGAUGAUUCCUAGUCUUAUAACUCUAGAGGAGACUACUAUACAGAAGGAGACUAUUGGUGAUCAGGAAAAGAUAAUUAGGCAUUUAAAUAAACCAGAUUUAAAGAGAUACUCAAGAAGAGACACAACAAAAGCAGAAAAAGAUAUUGUGCAGCCUACUUAGUGUCAUGAAUCUUCCUCUUCUCCAUCGAGUGAGUCAUCCCUAAAUCUUAAGCCCAUUAAUGAUCUAAAUAAACUAAUUGUCCAAAAAAAAAGGAGUUAGGUAUUGCACAAAGCACUCUAUUUCUAGCUUUCUCUCUUAUGAUUCUUUGUCUCCAUCCUAUAGAACCUUUGCCUUGUCUAUUUUCUCUGUGUUUAUCCCAUAGGGUUAGAAGGAAGCUCUUAAAGAUUUUAAUUGGAAGGGAGCAAUGAUUGAAGAAAUAAAAAUCUUAACUAAAAAUGAGACCUGAGAAUUUAUGUCUCUUCCACUUGGAAAAAAACCAGUUAGCUGCAAAUGGGUGUUCAGUGUGAAACACAAAGCGGAUGGAUCAAUUGAAAAAUUUAAGGUCAAAUUAGUUGCCAAGGGAUACACCCAAACUUAUGGAGUAGAUUACUAGACAUUUGCCCCUGUUGUCAAAAUGAACUAUAUCAGAAUAUUGCUAUCUUACCUACCAAUCUUGACUAGGACUUACAACAAUUUGAUAUGAAAAAUGCAUUUCUCCACGGAGACUUAAAGGAGGAAUUGUAUAUGGAAAUCCCUCCUAGAUUUGCUUAUGAAAAAAUAUAAGAAAAACUGUGCAGAUUUAAAAAAGGCUUUGUGUGGACUGAAGCAGUCACCCAGAGCUUGGUUUGAUCGAUUUAGCAAAUCUAUGAUUUCCUUUAGCUAUCAACAGAGCAAUACUGACCAUACUCUAUUUAUCACACAUCACAAGGGUAAAAUUAUUGUUUUCAUAGUCUAUGUUGAUGAUAUAGUAAUGACAAGAAAUGACACUAAAGAGAGGGCUCAGCUGAAAAAGCUUUUGGGUCGGGAGUUUAAAAUUAAAAAUUUACGAAAACUUUAAUAUUUCAUGGAAAUCAAGGUUGCCAUAUCAAAAAAGAAAAUCUUUAUUUCUUAGAGAAAAUACAUUCUAAAUCUUUUGGAAGAAACUAGUAUGUUAGGCUGCAAACCAGCAGAAACUCCCAUUGAGAGCAAUCACAAGCUACAAGCAAUGAUUGGUGAAUCAGUGGAUAUUGGCAAAUACCAAAGGUUGGUAGGCAUACUAAUUUAUCUUUCGCAUAUUCGACCAGACAUAACAUAUACACUCAGCUUAGUCGGUUUAUGCAUGAUUCUCGUGAGUCCCAUAUGCAAGUUGUUUUUUUGCAUUUUGCGAUGCUUGAAGUCUGCUCCUGAAAAGGUCUCCUAUUCUCUAAACAUAGUCAUCUCCGUGUAUCUAUAUAUUCACAGAUGCAUAUUGGACUGCAUCUCUUAAUGAUAAAAGGUCGACUAGUAGUGGUUACUGCACACUUGUGGGAGGAAACCUUGUCACUUGGAAAAACAAAAAGCAAAGUGUUGCUUGAUCAAGUGCUGAGGCGGAAUAUAAAGCAAUGGCACAAAGUGUUUAUGAACUUUUAUGGUUGUAGAGAUUGUUGGAGAAAUAUUGAAACUGUUGGAGAGGGACAAACUCCUCUUUUAAUGCGACAACAAAGCUGCCUAUUGUUUCUAAGCCUGGUCUUAAAUAUUUUAUCACUUUUGUUGAUGAUUACUCUCGUGUUACCUGGUUGUAUUUGAUGAAGAAUCGUUCAGAAUUGUUUUCCAUCUUUUGAGCCUUUUGUUCUCAAAUUAAAACUCAGUUCAAUGUUCCUGUGUGGCUAUUAUGCAGUGACAAUGCCAAAGAAUAUUUUUCAAAGAACUUUCAAACCUUCAUGAACCCAAAAUAGAAUGUUUCAUUAGUCUUCUUGUAUCGAUAAACUAUCUCAAAAUGGUGAUACCGAAAGAAAAAACGGCAUCUUAAUUAAGGAAUAAUUAGAGGGUAUCAACUAUCUAGUGUUUUAUCUUGUAAUUGGGAGCUGGAACUUUUCCUGCUCGAGGGAGAAUUAUCUCCUGAACUUGUUUGGCUGUUUAUCCUUUUUAACACAACUCCUCCUUCCUUCUUGUUGGUUCUUGUGUGAUAUUACUGGUAAAAUUCCUUUUCUCUAACAGUACUCAUGUCUCCAAUUAUUAUAAGCAUGCUUACAUGAGAUUCCUUUAAACAAUCAAAUUUCCUUCCUGAACUAUAACCCAUGUUUGCUCAAGAGUGUUGACCAGCUUGAAAGCUCCUACUAACUAACAUUUUUUGCACCUUCCAAAACAAUAACCUACUUGAGUGCAGCAACAAUAAAAUAAUUUCUAGAAGGCUUGCCUAGUAAUCCAAGCUAACUUUUUAUUUAUAAUACAGAGAUCAUGUACAAAUAGAAGAAUACCUGCACAGCAGCAGCUGUUUCCAGUGCAAUAGUUUGACUGACAGAAUGGUUGCUCUCAAAAAAUUUGAUAAUCUCAUGAAUGGCAUCCUUCAAGUACUGGUCAAUAACAUUAAUCAGUAAACAAACACAACAAAAGUGUAAGCUUAUCAUCUUAUGAGAAAUAGAGAGUAGCAGCAUACGGUCAUGUAACAUGGAGAAGCUUUGACAACCAUGCUCCAGUCCACCUUAGCAUCAAAAGGCUUAUAACAGAAGGCACCAAUUAGAGAGUCCAAAGCAGUUGCACUCUGCAGGGAGAAGGGCCAAAUGAUUUUGGGUAACAUACUAAUGUCAAGGAACAAAUAAUUAGCUUUUAUGGCUUUGUAACAAGGAGGACCCCAACCUGGGCGAGAAGACCGUUUGGUGAUGAUAACUGAUAGGACCCCAGUUUCAUGUCAAAAACCUUUGUUUCUGGGUAAAGCUUAAUGGAGCAAUCAAAACCAUCACAAGAUAAUUCAGCAAGACACUUGUGGUCCUCAACAAGCUUUGAAGCAUUAUGUUGCAUGUGAACCUCCAAAUAAGUAUGAAGAGCAUCCAUCUUCUCAUUGAAUAUUACUGACUGCCCAUCAUCACCUUCCUUAUAACCUAUCAGUUUGUUAAGUUGAUCCCAGUCCUCAUCACUGAAACGAAAUUGUUCGCUUUCAUCUUUGAAAGAUUGACUGCUCCUGAAAAAGUAGACAGAGACAGAAAAUAUUACAAAUUUUACCGCAUUGCCAAUUAAAUAAAGAUCAGCUUCAAAGGAUUUUCUCAAGGAAAAGAAUAUAUAUCACCAUCCAAAUGACCACCAUGAUUUCUUUGCUUUCUGUUUCAUCGAGUCAAGUUCUGAUUCCAUUGACCGCUCCACAAACUUGUGAGCCAACAUCCUGCACAAUAUCAGGAAUCAGGAUAGCAUAAAAAUAGUCCAAUGCCAAAAAAACAAAAAACAAAAAAAACAAAAAAGAAGAGAUCUGCAGACCUAUCAUGAACAGUUGACCAUAUAACUCAUAGUAUAGGAACCAUAAGUACAUAUAGAUGCAAGCACGCACAUAUAUGGGAAUUUCAAGGCAAGGGAUAAAGUGAUGGAAUCAAACAACAGUCGUAUAACAGGAUUUUUGGGGGGGGCAUUUCCCAUGACACUGUUAUUUAAAGGCUGCCUAACAACUGUAGGUGUAACUGUAAUGGUUGUUAUGGCCUUUACAUGUAAUUCACUUUCACCCCCUUAAAAUCACAUGCCAAACAGAAGUGUUCUGCAUUCCUACGACCUCCAACAGUUUUACAGCUCUUUUUUUCAGGAUAUCUCUUUCUUUUCACUCAAAUAACACAUUCUUCCUGCAUCUUUCUCCCCAUACGCUAAGAUUUAUCAUAAACUACCUCCAUUUCAUAGUUCUUUCUUCUAAAAGUGAGUUUAUUUUUCCCUUUUUUGCUUUUAUUUUUUAUUAUUUGCUGUCUUUUGCUUUUUUUGUUGAUUAAAAUUCAUGUUGAUGUCAGAUAGAAAUGAAAGAAAAUUUAAUGAUGUUUAAGUUAUAUAGUCUUUAUUGGAUGUAUGUAUGCAUUAUUAGUCAUGUAUGCCUAUUAUAUAGUCAUGUACAUUACUUUAUUUUUCCCUUUUUCGCUUUUAUUUUUUAUUAUUUGCUGUCUUUUGCUUUUUUUGUUGAUUAAAAUUCAUGUUGAUGUCAGAUAGAAAUGAAAGAAAAUUUAAUGAUGUUUAAGUUAUAUAGUCUUUAUUGGAUGUAUGUAUCCAUUAUUAGUCAUGUAUGCCUAUUAUAUAGUCAUGUACAUUACUUUAUUUUUCCCUAAUUUAAUGAUGUUUAAGUUAUAUAGUCUUUAUUGGAUGUAUGUAUUCAUUAUUCGUCAUGUAUGCCUAUUAUAUAGUCAUGUACAUUACUCUUAUCAAAUCAAUUCAUUUCAUGAACUUUGCAAAUUGUUUUGAAAAAUUUGGGUAGCAGCAGGCAUUGCCUUUAUGUUACAGCUGGCAUAGGCCUGUUUCCAUAGACGCAUUUAAAACAAUGCGAGUCUCUAGAGGCCUAUGCAUGUAUAUUUGUCAUUUCCUCUUGGCUGUAACAGAUUUUCUCCUACCAUAAAAGAACCUUAUACAGAAAUUAGGUUAAUGAUUUUGGAAGUAUACUAUUCACAGUAUCUGAUAAUUUAUAAUUUCACUGGAAUGAACUCAGCUGGAGUCUCUAGAGUCUUAGUUUUGUGUAUUAAAGAACCUUAGUAAUUCUAGCAGUUAGUUUUAGCUGUUUAUUUGGAACCCAAGUCCUUCUAAGGAUCAAGAUUAGGGAUUCAAGUAUUUGUUGUACAGGAUUACUUCCAGUCCAGAAAUUAUUAAGCUUAAUGCUUUUUGAAGUUUUACGGUGAAUAAAAUUCACGCAAUUUAUGCUUUUGUUUCUGAGUUCCGUGAUGCAAUUCUAAUCCCAGAAAGUGUGAUGCUUUCUUAAUUGGAGUGGGUUCAAGAUUCAACCAGUGUGAGGCUAGUAGUAGUUUUUUGUUUGCCCUUUCUUCUGUUUUCUGCAAAAAUCAGAUCUGCCACCAGUCUUCUAAUCCUUUUUUGAGUUCUAUAAACUUUAAAUAUAAACCAGUCUUUCAAUCCUUUUUUUGAGUUCUCCAAACCUCAAAUCUAAUUUUCAAACACAAAAGUUUUCCCUAGUCAUCGUAAAACAAGUUAUUUCAUAAAUUAAAGGAAAAAUAACUCAGAGCACAAAAUUAACUCUGGCUAAAAGUUCAACAACAAAUAACAGUAAAUAAAAUAAAAUAAUAAUAGACACUGAACUGGUAAGUGUCCGAAAAAAUGUGCAUCACUUCUAGCUCCGACAGAUAACCACUAUACGCCUUGGACAGGAAUAUUCAGAAGCUAGUAUCUUAAAUAAUAUUUGCACAAGUGAAACUAGCAAAGUGCGUGCACAUACAUGCAUAUGAGAGCAAAAGUUUUCCAUGUUUGUCCCAGUAAAACAGUGCAGUUUAUAUAACAGAGCUUUUCUCUUUCCCUUUCCACAUUAUCAGAAUCUUAAAUAAUACUCCUGCAACUUCCACUUCCGCUGAACAAUUUUACUCGUCCACUUGCUUAACAAUGAGCAUGCACUACACAAAAUGACAAUAAUAAUAUAUCUUGCACACUUGUCAAUACCUCCACUGUAGUAUGAGUUCAAUGUCAAGUUCACGGUCCAGCUCCUCAAUUUCUUUGUUGUCAUCUAUUAUUGCCCGCUUUGGGUCAGACUUCAGCAGAGAAGCAUAUAGAGAGAUAUAUCUCUUACGUAAACUUGCAUAUCUUAGUACCUGCUCCCAGGAUAACUUCCCACUGCCACAAAUAUCAUUUCCUUAGCAACAGAAGCAAAUCAAAACCUAAAACAAGUUAUGUGGGGAAAAAAUAAAAUACAAGUACUACAAUCCCAGAACCAAUUGCAACCACCCAACCUAAAACAGAAAGUAAUAAGCCAUUGCCAAAAAUUAUCUUGAGAAAUAAAGACAAAUAGCAUUUUCUUUUUUCUUUUAUUUUUCUUUUGUGGCUUCAGCAACUUCCAUUCACACUGAAGCAGAUUGUUCAUAAACAAAGCAUCAUAAACAUUCAGGGAUUACACUUAUUUAUGCAGGGAAUAACAUUCAGGGAAUAUGAAUGGAUUUAUACUCCCUGUUUUGAGUAACAUUUCAAAGAUCAUGUACCGGAUCUGAGCACUUUUGCAUUUCAGUUUACCUCUAUAAGAAAUGGACUAGUCUAACUCAACCUUAAAAGCUAGUUCAAGCAGGAAGGAUUGCCCAAGUCUUUAUAUUUAUCUCAAUUUAUUUAUCCCAAACUGAUGUUGAACAACACAUCCCCUCAUGUCUAGACAUGAACAUUUAAAGUGUGAAGUUUACAAGAACGAACAUCUGCAAGUGGUCUAACAACAAAUCAAGAGUAGACAUUAAUAUCAUGUAGAGAAAUUAAUUUAGUGAGCCUAACCCAAUCCCAAAAACUAGUCAAAGGGAAGACUGCCCAAGUCUUUAUAUUUAGCACAAUUUCCUUAUCCCAAACCUAUUGGGAACAACAACCUCCAUGCGCUUUAAAUAAAUUUUUUAUUUUUGUCAAAAACAUGAAUGCAUGUUGUUAUAGGUUAUAGGAAGUAAAUUUUGAUAGAUAUAUCAGUUGUUUAAUCUUAGGGAGUGUAUGAUCAUAGACUUGAUUUUCCUUUUUGUUUAGUUACUGACUCUCAUGUAUAAAUAAGUUAAAAAUUUUGUAAUAUUGUAAUAUACAACAACAACAAAUAUUAUCUUUCUACAUGAUAUCAGAGCUUCACCCAUAAAGAUUUAAAAAUUUUUUGGAGACUUAGGACUCUAUUCAUUUGGGUUACCCAUAUAGAGUAACAUUUGGAUCUCACAGCCCCCCUGGGAAGGACGCCGAAGCGCCGGCGAAGCUUCCCUAAAGAGCCGACGGGCGUUCGGCUAGCGAGUGGGCCUCACGCGCCGGCGUGUGAAGGCGCAUCCCUGCUCCGUCGCUGCUCCGGUCACCAUUGACAGAGUCGCCACAACGUCCCCUUGUCAGACAUAGUUUGGCAGGUCCAAUGAGGUAGUCCAACAGUAUGGAAUGAAGACGAGUAAGUGUGAUCACUCAAUGUUUUAUAGAAAUUCUGAUAGUGGAGUAAUUCUGCUUGUAGUAUAUGUGGAUGAUAUCGUUAUCACAGGAAGUGACGUUGCUAGUAUCACAUCCCUAAAAGAAUUUCUUAAAACACAGUUUCAUACAAAGGAUUUGGGCUCCUUGAAAUAUUUCUUGAGAAUCGAAGUUAUGCGGUAUAAGAAAGGCAUCUUCUUAUCUUAAAGAAAAUAUGUCCUUGAUUUAUUGGCAGAAACAGGAAAAUUGGGUGCUAAGCCUUGUAGUGCUCCAAUGUCCCCUAACCUUCAACUUACCACAAAAGACAUUGAGUCAUUUGCAAAUCCUGAAAGGUACAGAAAAUUAGUUGGCAAGCUGAAUUCUUUGUUACCUUAAAGGGCCCCAGGGUAAGGUCUAUUCUAUAGUAACCAUGGGCACUCAAAUAUUAAAUGUUUUUCUGAUGCUAAUUAGGCAGGUUCGAAGGUUGAUAGGAAGUCAACUACUGGAUAUUGUAUUUUUGUGGGAGGUAACCUGGUCUCAUGGAAAAGUAAGAAGUAAAAUGUGGUCUCCCGUUCUAGUGCCGAAUCCGAAUAUCGAGCCAUGGCACAAGCCGUUUGUGAAGUCUUGUGAGUACGUCAACUAUUGGAAGAAGUUGGCUUCACAAAUUCGGUGCCUGCUAAGUUGUGGUGUGAUAAUCAAGCAACUAUCCACAUUGCCUCCAAUCCAGUAUUUCAUGAUAGGACUAAACACAUUGAGAUUGAUUGUCAUUUUGUUCGUGAGAAGGUCCAACAAAAGAUAAUAUCAACAGGAUAUAUCCAAAUUGGAGAAACAACUAGAAAAUAUCUUCACUAAAGCUCUAAAUGGGACUUGAGUAGAUUAUAUAUGUAAUAAGUUGGGCAUAAUUAACAUCUAUACUCCAACUUGAGGGAGAGUGUUAUAGGUUAUAGGAAGUAAAUAUUGAUAGAUGUGUCAGUUGCUUAAUCUUAGAGAUUGUAUGAUCAUAGACUUGAUUUUCCUUCCUGUUUAGAUACAGUCUUUCAUGUAUAAAUAGGUUGUAAUCUCUAUUGUAAUAUACAACAACAAAUAUUAUCUUUCUAUACAUGUUAACCAAACAGUCCAAAACUGAGCAAAUAAAACACAGCAAACUGAGUGACAAAACUCAUACACACAGAGUCAGACACAUCUCUAAAUAAUACUGAUGAACACAUUGAGUCAUGGACACAAGUCUCCGGACAAAUAUCAGCAUACACAUCUAACUGCAACUAAAUCAAGACAAAGAUAAGGUAGCUGCGCCUUAAAUAAAUUUUGUGCGAAGAAGAAUAUAAUUGAGAAGCACUUUUUUUUUGUUGCAAUAUCCAAAGCUUAUACAUAUACCACCAAUAAGCGAACCUGAUAAUUCAUGUCAACUGUCAAGUGAUUUCUAGGAUAUCUUCCUUGCAACCAGGGGUGACCAGUAUUCAGUUCAAACCGAAAAAAUCGACCGAACCGAAUUAAUUUGAAAAUUCAGUUCGGUUUUUUAUUUAUUUCGGUUUAGUUUAAUUUUUAAUUUUAAAAUUUUCGAUUAUUUCAGUUCGGUUCGGUUUUGAUCUGAAAAAAUUGAAAAAACCAAACCGAACCGAUUAGUGAUAAUAAUAUAUUAUUUUCAAUAAUUUAGAGAGAUUAGAUCAUAUUAAGGUUAAAAUAGUUCAAUUAAAUUUUAAAAUACUAAAAAUAAAGUAUAAAAAAUAAAAAAUUUAUUAAAAAUUUAAACCUAUCAAACCCAACCGAAUCGAACCGGUUCGGUUCGAUUCGGUUUCUGACCAAAAUCGAUUCGGUUUUUAUAAAUAUUAAAAUUUUGGUUUUUGAUUUAUUCGGUUCGGAUCGGUUUUGAACCGAACCGACCGAAUGCUCACCCCUACACCAUCCACCCACAAAAAAUAAGAAGAGAACAGGUCAACACAAUUAUUUUCUCCAAGCCAUGGCUUCUGUUUCUUUAGUAUCAUCCAAACUCCAAAGCUUAUCCAAAAACAGGCACAUAAAGGCAAACUCCAUAACUCACCCCAGUGAUUUCUAGGGCAUCAACCUCCAGUACCAUUCACCCACCACAAAUAAGAAGAAAACAAUCCAACACCAUUUUUUUAUAACCAAAAUCAUCAUCUGUGAGUACUAUGAAUAAGCUUAAGUUUAACUUUUUAAUUUCAUUGCCAUGCAACGGGAUGCAAUAAGGGCUUGGUGUCAUUAUGUUAAUAAAGAGUGGGUCGGAGGAAUUUUAACGAGGUCCACCACAUAAACUAGACUUCCUAGUAUCAUAUUUAUUCAGAUAUAAAAAGUUAUAAGAAUGUAUGAUAAAGCUUUUAUCUUAUCAUUAGCAACGCAUCAAAAACCAGCGUCAAAAAAUUGCAUGAUACUUUCAAAUAUCAUGUUACUAAGUAGAAGGCUAAAGAAUAGUUCAUCGCAUAACCCAAUUUAUGUUGUUAGUUAAUCAUUUUCUCAAAAAACCUCACUUUAAACCUACUCUGCAAUACUGAGCAAAAGAUAGGAUUAAUAAUUUAGGAGGUUAAUGUGGUCUAAAAACAAAAGCUCCUAAUCUGAUGCCAUGUUAAACAAUCACCUAAAUCCAAACGUAUAAGUUGCCAAAUUGCAGGAACAUUACUUAUUAUUCAUGAUAUUCAUACACACUGCAUAUAACAAUUUUCCAUAUCACUUUCAUCCAUAAAAAUACUCCAGUGAUUUUUUAACCGCAUGCACAUGAUGAAACUUGUACUAUAGAACAAAACAACUCAUGCUUUGCUCUCAAACAAGUAGGAAGAGAAGAUUUCCACCAUCUGACAUCAUAUGCAAAACCUCAGUGACUAUCCCAAGAAAGGUCACCUAAAUUUGUCACAUAUCUAUACCUAUUUUCGCAGUGUCAAAGCAAGAAUCAAAAUCUUCAUAUUGUGAAUCUGGAAUCAAAACUGAAUCAUAAGAUUCUAUAAAAGUUCUCAAAAGUAAUUAAAAUAAUUUAUAUUCUAAAAAAUAAUUAAAAAAUCAUAACAACAUGUUUUGAUAAAUGUAAAAAUAUCAAUACGCUAAUUAGACUAUGUUUUAUAAUAGAACAGUAUAUUCUUGUCAUGUUAAAUGGCUUUAUUGUUAUACAUUAUGAAAUUUUGGAUUGUAGAUGUUGAUUAUCAUUUUACAUAUGCAGAAACUCCCACUUAACUAUGAUCAAAUAAUUAAAUAAUAACAGAAAAAGAAUAGCAGGACACAUUAAACCACCAGCAAAUAUUAAUAAAAAUAUCAAAAUUUGACAAAUAUAACUAACAAAGAAAAUUCACAAAAAAAAGGAAAAAAAAAAGGGGGAUAGAGAAAAGAUUCGCACCAAUGGAAGAAAAAUAGCCAAGGGAAAGUUUAUAUUCACUUUUAAUAGCAAAAAAGAAACGAAAUACUAAAAUUAUAAAGCUAUAAAGUCCAACAAUCUUCUAGAGAAGAACUGACAGAAUCAGGUGAAGAAUCAACCUCACCUAUUAACUAUCAAUUUUUUUGAUUUAGUCACAAUUCAGGAACAUUUUUUAUUUACUCUAGAUCCAAAUCACUAGAAUGGGGAAUCAAAUCAACAACCAUACAAUUUGACUCAAAAAUCGUAAGAUUCAGGCAUAUUUAAGAUUUCCCCCACAAAUUUGAAUUGCUACGGUGAAGAAUUGAAUCAGAAGACUGUAACUAAUAAUAGUGCCUAUGUCUGCUGCAAUAACUUCUAGUGAUUUCAAUAUUUUUAUUCAGAAAGAAAAGAAUUACUAUUUCAAUACCUUGCCUUCUUCAAUUGGUCAGAGACAACUCUGUAUGCAUAAUUCCACCACAACCGUGUAUUAUAUUUUACUGGCACCAAAGGACGAUAAUGAGCAUAUUUUAAGCGUUGAUUAAAUGCAGCAAAAUUGUCAGCUAAUUUUAAAAUAUCCCUGUAUCCAUCCUGCAAAACAAAGAGAUAACUUAAUGAAAAACCUCAUGAUCCUACUGCUCUCAGAGCAAAAGCAAACAUGAUGCAGAAGACCAGUGAAGACCUUUGACAAACAGAGUGUCACAUCAUCCAAGUUCACUUCUGCUUUCUGGAGAGGCUGGCCUCCAUUAACAGAUUCAUUCGACCUCAACUUUGAGUACUUAGCAUUUCCAGUCACUGGUUGCAGAAUGUAUGAGUGCUUUUUCAUUAUAGAAUCUGACGGUUUACCAUCUUUUGUACCAAACCUAAAAACCUGAAGUUCCAUGGAAACUUGAAAAUAAAUAUCAUUUACGGAGCCAAGAUAAACAUAAAGCAAAACCAAAUAGUUCCUAAAACUAAUGUAACAAAAAUACUGAAAAUAUGAUACCUGAACCCACUCAGAAGGACGCAAGUUCUCCCAUGGUUUGCUAAUAUACCAUGGUGAUAUAUCAGAAUCCAGAUAAAUAGCAAGUUGAUCAAGUUCAACAGACUGAAAAAGAGCAGAACACAGAAAAUUACCCAAAACAGUGGUAACACACAAUCCAACACUGAAAUCAUUAAUCCAGUGUAAGGGGACAGUGACAAAGAAAACCUUGAUGCUAUUUCCAGGACAAGAUUCAUCCCACAAGCAAGCACAGAUCCUCUAAAGUUUAAAGUAUUAAGAACACUGAACACAGUAAGUUGCAAUCGCUAUCAGCCCUCAUCUAAACAUUUUGCAACAUGAAGAAUUUUAGAGUAUUUUUGUAUUUUCCUCUUAAUCUUUACAAGUGAUUUAUAUGACUAUUUACAUACAAAGAAUUAUGACUAAAAAAAAAAAAGCAAAUAAUUAAAUAAUUACAAAAAUAAUUAAGGAUCUUAAUUUAGGCCUAGAAUCAAUAAUCAAAUUAAAUUAUAUCAGUAGAAAUCAGCAAAUAAGUCAACACUCCUCCUCAAGUUGGUGAACAGAAUCAAAUUAUAAUAGGUUCUAUUAUUGAGCCAUUUAGUAAAUACAUCCGCAAACUGCUCAAGACACAGUCUAUUAUUUUUUCUUCAAUGAAGUGUUGAUCGAUCACAAUGUUCUUCAUUCGGUGAUAUUGAACUGGAUUUUGUUCUAUACUUAUGGCAGCUUUGUUGUCACAAUACAAAAUUAUCUUGUCUCUCUCGAGUAAUCUCAGCUCUUCCAAUAACUUUUGCAACAACAAAAGUUUACACACGCCUUGAGCCACUACUAUGCAUUCUGCUUCACCACUUUACCGAGCAACACUUCUUUAUUUUUUGGCCCUCCAGCUGACAAAAUUCCCUUCCACAACCGUGCAGUAUGCAGAGAUUGAUCUCCUAUCAUUGAGAGAUCUACACAAUCUACAUCUGUAAAAGUUUCAACUCAGAGAUGAUCAUGGUUGGCGUAAAGAAGUCAUUUUCCUGAUGCAGACUUUAGAUACUUCAAGAUGCGAAAGACAGCCUGCAUAUGAGUCUCAGGGUCAAGCAUGAAUUGGCUGGCUGACUAAGCUAACAGCAUAGACUAUAUUCGGUCGAGUGUGUGAGAGAUAAAUCAACCUCCCUGUCAAUCUUUGGUAUCUUCCAAUAUCCACAGACUCACUUGUAUCUUGUGAUUACUUUCAAUGAGAAAUUCUAUUUGUUUACACCCCAACACAACAAUUUCUUCCAAAAGAUUUAGAAUGAACUUUUUGGGGAGAUAAAAGAUCUCUUUUUCUGAUCUAGUCACCUCAAUACCUAAAAAAUAUUGAAACUUUCCCAUAUUUUUUAUUUUAAAUUCUUGAGCCAACAACCUUUUUAGUUGAGUCAUUUCCUCUUUAUCAUCACCUGUCACCACUAUAUCAUCAACAUACACUAUAAGAAGAGUGGUCUUAUACACAGAGUAUGAUCAACAUUGCUCUGUUGGUAACCAAAGGACAUCAUGGCUCUACUAAACCUAUCAAACCAAGCUCUGGGAGAUUUUUAUAGCCCAUAUAAAGCCUUUUUUAAUUUGCACAUCUUUCCUUGUGUCUUCUCAUCAGCAAAACCAGGAAGGAUCUCCAUGAACACCUUUUCAUCUAAAUCUCUAUAAGGGCCGCAUCUCCUCAAUAUGCUUUGGGUAGGUUCAUGGUAAACAAAAGAGAUCGAGCUACCUCCAAUAGAUACUUAUUUUUCCUUUCAGCAACCACAUUUUGUGCAUUAGUAUAAGACCAACUUGUCUAGUGUACUAUCCCAUUGACUCUUUAUAAGCAGAAAACCUACUAUCCAUAUAUUCUCUUCCAUUGUCAGUUCUCAAAAUUUUCACCUUAGUAUCAAAUUGAGUACAAAUCAUCUUGUGAAAAGAUUGAAAAUAAGAAAAAACAACACUUUUAACUUUAAUCAAAUACACCUAAAUCAUUCGAGUGCAACAAUCAAUAAAAGUGACAAACCAUUGAUUACCAGAUAAGGAGACAGUUUGAGUAGGCCUCCAAAUAUCAGAAUGAAUAGUCACAAAAAGAAUUUGACUUUUAUUAUCACUCAACGGAUAGGAGGUUCUAUUGUGCUUAGCAUACUCACAAGCAUCAUAAAAUAAAGAACCAAAUUGAGUUCUAGCAAACAAACUAGGAUAAAGUUUUUCUAAGAUAAAAAACAAUGAACGCCCUUACCGUCUGUGCUAUAUGUCUAUUCGCACCAGAAUCAAUAAUCCAUGAGCCAGUAUCAAGAGAGAAAGCAUUACCUAACUUCACAAAAUUAUAUGUGGCACCAAAAGCGGAAGAGGUGUCAAUAUGAGACAGGAGGCGCUUGAAAUUGUAAAUUUCAGCUGUUGUUCUCUUUAAAGGGCUCCUCCACAGUUUCUAAUAAAUUAGUGUGAACUCUAGAGGUACCUCGUUUCCCCCCAUAGCCCCUAGUAGGAUGACCAUAUAACUUUCAACAAGUCUCCUUAGCAUGCCUCGGUUUCCCAUAAUAGUCACGAUGCAAGUGAACUUUCUCAAAAUUAGGAGGCUGCAGUGUGCUCAAACUUGUAGCCAACCCAGCCACUUCAACUGGUACAGUAUAAAGCAUCGCAUGCCGGUGUUUGGGUCAGGCCUAACUCACCCCAAAAGCUAGCUCAAGAGGGAGGAGUGCCUAUAGCCCAUAUAAGGGGCACAUUACCCCUUUCCACAAUCGAUGUGGGAUUCAACACACCCCCACGCCCAGAAUUUUUACUGGUGCGUGGCACAUUUAUGGGGCACCCAACAUCGGAUGGAGAGGCUCUGAUACCAUGUUAAAUUUGGGUCAGGCCUAACUCACCCCAAAAGCUAGCUCAAGAGGGAGGAGUGCGUAUAGCCCAUAUAAGGGGCACAUUACCCCUUUCCACAAUCGAUGUGGGAUUCAACA
rnacentral:lncRNA from 1 species